rnacentral:rRNA from 1 species
AAUCAACGCUGGCGGCGUGCCUAACACAUGCAAGUCGAACGCGACUGGGGACUUCGGUUCCCAGUUGAGUGGCGAACGGGUGAGUAACACGUGGGUGAUCUACCUUCGAGUGGGGGAUAACGUUCCGAAGGAACGCUAAUACCGCAUGACGUUCCGGGUUUGAAGACCUGGAAACCAAAAGCCGGGGACCGCAAGGCCUGGCGCUCAAAGAGGAGCCCGCGUCCGAUUAGCUAGUUGGCGGGGUAACGGCCCACCAAGGCGACGAUCGGUAGCCGGCCUGAGAGGGCGGACGGCCACACUGGGACGUGAGACACGGCCC